UCUGGUGACGAUGGCGGAGGGGACACACGCGUACCCAUCCCGAACACGACCGUUAAGCCCUCCAGCGCCGAUGGUACUUGGACCGAAGGGUCUUGGGAGAGUAGGUCGUUGCCAGGC
rnacentral:rRNA from 1 species